CCAGCUAUCAAUAAAAUAACCCAGCUAACAGAGAGCAACAAAACAAAAAAAAAAAACAGGGCAAUUUUUUAUAUAUACCCAUAUCAACAAACUCAUCAAAAACAUAACCCUAGUCAGAUUAGAGAGCUAAAAACAAGAUCAAAUCAAAGCAAAAUAAAUUAAAAAACAUAAAAACAAAGAGAGAGAAAGAUUACAUACCCAAACUCAAAACACUCCAAAUGGGUUCUUUGUGGAGAAAAGAAAGUGUUUUUGUGAGUUUAGGAGAAGAAAAAGAGAGAAAAAAGAGGUUUUUUGAGGGAAAAGAGG
rnacentral:lncRNA from 1 species